UGUGUAGGCGGACAGUCAAGUGAGAUGUGAAAUCCCUCAGCUCAACUGAGGAAUAGCGUUUCAAACUGACUGACUGGAGUGAGAUAGGGGUAAGCGGAACUUGCGGUGGAGCGGUGAAAUGCAUUGAUAUUGCAAGGAACACCAGAGGCGAAGGCGGCUUACUGGGUCUUAACUGACGCUGAAACACGAAAGCCAGGGUAGCGAACG
rnacentral:rRNA from 1 species